AUUGAACGCUGGCGGCAUGCUUUACACAUGCAAGUCGAACGGCAGCACGGGCUUCGGCCUGGUGGCGAGUGGCGAACGGGUGAGUAAUGCAUCGGAACGUACCGUGUAGUGGGGGAUAACGUAGCGAAAGUUACGCUAAUACCGCAUACGCCCCGAGGGGGAAAGGGGGGGACCGCAAGGCCUCCCGCUAUAUGGGCGGCCGAUGUCGGAUUAGCUAGUUGGUAGGGUAAAGGCCUACCAAGGCGACGAUCCGUAGCGGGUCUGAGAGGAUGAUCCGCCACACUGGGACUGAGACACGGCCCAGACUCCUACGGGAGGCAGCAGUGGGGAAUUUUGGACAAUGGGCGCAAGCCUGAUCCAGCCAUGCCGCGUGAGUGAAGAAGGCCUUCGGGUUGUAAAGCUCUUUCAGACGGAAAGAAAUCUCCCAGGAUAAUACCUUGGGAGGAUGACGGUACCGUAAGAAGAAGCACCGGCUAACUACGUGCCAGCCGCCGCAGUAAAAC
rnacentral:rRNA from 1 species